GCACCUGCGACAUGAACGAUAUAACUUUAUUUGGCAGCGCUGGGUAGCUAUAUUUUCAAUCAUCAAAUUGUAUGGGGUUUUUUUUUCUAAAAAGACUGCAGUUGGUUUAUUUUCAUUUCAUCAACUGAGCACUGCGAAGGCUAGCUAUGAGCUGCUGGCACCUGAAUCGGGGAGGACUGGCUUGUGGUAAUAAUUGAGCGGAAUGGCUUCAACACUAAAGAACCAUUAUUUGGACAGCGCAUAGAUGAUUUAUGUGAGCGCUGGUGUGCCAUCCUGAACAAAUGCUCUAUUGAUUUAAUGACAUUAAUUCUUGACCAGUUGAAACAUGAUUUUAUUGAAAUGGAUAACACGAUUGAAGACAAACGCAUAUUCUACAAAUAGCUGUUAAUGAUGAUGGCAUAUUCAAUGAACUGAUGAAAACUAACCAAGCGCUCCAGGACAAGUUGUCUACAGAAAUAAAGGAACUUAAAAUCAAGAAAUUCAACCAAGACAAAAAAGACAAGGCCGAUGGUAAAAGUCUACUUCUGGAGAAACCCUGACCAGGGAGGUCCUGUACCUCCUCUCCAUGGCAGACGCGGGAGGGACGCCGCUUACUUCGAUCCACCCUUGUCUGAUCAACGCUCUACAACCAGCGCCUCAUCGGCUUCCAGUGGUAGUUUUUUAUUCAACGAGAGACUGGACGGACGGACGGAAGGGCGGAGGAGGCCGCAGGCACGCGCAUCGACGAGAUGCCGCACCCGACGGCGUAAGAAGAAACGACUAUCAGAGGCAGAGGAGACCGUUCACACGGUCCCAGAACCCACGGGACUGUGUCUUUAAUUAAUCAAGCAAGAUAUUGAGCCCUGCCCAUUUCUCUUUGCUGAAUAAAGGGUUAUAUUUUGUGCCUUUACAACCCAGUGCAACGAUUUUGAUGUUAAGGUAGACAUGUUUAAGUGUUUUAGAAACAUCCGUUUAAGGGAAUACUUUAGCUCCCCUAAUCCUGACAUUUCUAUUGAACCAGUAGGUUGCUCCCCUGCACAUACUCCGAC
ensembl:lncRNA